AUACGAAGGGGGCUAGCGUUGUUCGGAAUAACUGGGCGUAAAGCGCACGUAGGCGGAAUGUUAAGUUAGGGGUGAAAUCCCAGGGCUCAACCCUGGAACUGCCUCUAAUACUGGCAAUCUAGAGACCGAGAGAAGUGAGUGGAAUUCCGAGUGUAGAGGUGAAAUUCGUAGAUAUUCGGAGGAACACCAGUGGCGAAGGCGGCUCACUGGCUCGGUACUGACGCUGAGGUGCGAAAGUGUGGGGAGCAAACAGGAUUAGAUACCCCGGUAGUCC
rnacentral:rRNA from 1 species